CGCGGGAAUUCGAUUAGAGUUUGAUCAUGGCUCAGGAUGAACGCUAGCGGCAGGCCUAAUACAUGCAAGCUGACGGAAACUUUGGUAGCAAUACUGAGCUAGAGUAGCGUAAGGGUGCGUAACACGUAUGCAAUCUGCCCGCAACAGGAGGAUAGCUCUUCGAAAGAGGAAUUAACACUCCAUAAUACCAUUUGAGGGCAUCUGAGGAUGGUUAAACUACAAGGGGUUGCGGAUGAGCAUGCGCAUGAUUAGUUAGUUGGUUGGGGUAACGGCCCACCAAGACGAUGAUCGUUAGGGGAACUGAGAGGUUGGUCCCCCACACUGGCACUGAGAUACGGGCCAGACUCCUACGGGAGGCAGCAGUAGGGAAUAUUGGACAAUGGGUGAGAGCCUGAUCCAGCCAUGCCGCGUGCAGGAAGAAAGCCUCUGGGUUGUAAACUGCUUUUUUCAGGGGAUAAAUACGCGUGCGCGCGGAAUUGCAAGUACCUGGAGAAUAAGCCACGGCUAACUACGUGCCAGCAGCCGCGGUAAUACGAAUCACUAGUGAAUUCGCGGCCGCCUGCAGGUCGACCAUAUGG
rnacentral:rRNA from 1 species